CUUGGUCAUUUAGAGGAAGUAAAAGUCGUAACAAGGUUUCCGUAGGUGAACCUGCGGAAGGAUCAUUAAAGAUUCGACCUUCGGGUCUAUCUUAUCUUCAGCUGUGCGCUUUUGCUGCACGCUGUUGAACUUCACACACCUGUGCACACUUCGGUUGCGGUUGGUUAACUCUAGCUGCUUCCGCUUUUACAUUUAACUACUAAGUCUUGAAUGUCAAAUACAAUAAAAAUAACAACUUUCAACAACGGAUCUCUUGGCUCUCGCAUCGAUGAAGAACGCAGCGAAAUGCGAUACGUAAUGUGAAUUGCAGAAUUCAGUGAAUCAUCGAAUCUUUGAACGCAACUUGCGCUCCUUGGUAUUCCAUGGAGCAUGCCUGUUUGAGAGUCACGUAAACCCUCACCCUUACGAUGUUACAAUUGUAUUGUGGUGGAUUUGGAUUGUGCCGUAAUUGGCUCAUCCUGAAAUGCAUUAGCUUGUGCUUUUUACAGUGCUCGGCAUGGUGUGAUAAUUAUCUGCGCCGUCGCCUUAGGCCUGUUCUAUAUGUGCAGCUUA
rnacentral:sRNA from 1 species